rfam:Citrus clementina cultivar Clemenules unplaced genomic scaffold scaffold_6, whole genome shotgun sequence.
AGACCAUGAUGUGGGCAUUUUCUUUGUAGGUCUUUGUAUCUCUCCUACGCUUCAUAUAAUGAUUUAAUCUCAAAUUGAGCAAAGGUUGUGAUUUCAUUCCUCAACUU